rnacentral:tRNA from 1 species
CUAUAGUAUAAGGGCGUAGGCUAAUUCAUUGUCUAGGUAGCUUUUCUUGAAAGACUAAGAUUUUUGUAAAUACAAUCAGUCCAUCGAUAGGCCCUUCUUGUCUUAAUGAUAACUCCGUCAAAGGGCUUUCUCUGAAUGUCCGCAAGCAUCGUACUUCUCCUGCCCAAUAGAACACCCCCUUGCCUUUUCUCGCCUUAACUCCUUACCGUGCCUGAAUCUCCUCUCAUGAGCCUUGCCCUUCAAAAAGUCUAUUUAUGAGGUUCGGGUGUUGAUAUCGGUAACUCUUUCUCAUAUUCUAAUACAGGAAAUCGACCCGACCUUAAAUCAAUUGAAUUGAGUGCUUUUCUUAAUUAUCACUACUCCCAUGAACGGAACACUAACAUAUUCUUUCAAGUGUCAAGCGAGGAAAGUAAUCUUUCUGACUUCCCAACGAUCUCCCGUUGUAAGCCAGACGCGGGACCUAAAUCCACUUCAACGCUAGGGAGCUCUAACGUGCCAUUUAGUAGCACUCAUGGGAUCUGGUCAACAAAGGUGUAACUAUGAAGUCAGUCGGGGAGAGGAGCGAAAAGCGAUAACUAAAAAAUCUCCCCAAGUAGGAUUCGAACCUACGACCAAUCGGUUAACAGCCGACCGCUCUACCACUGAGCUACUGAGGAACAAUGGUAUACCCUAUUCAGGUAAGACUUGAUCAUCCGAGACUGUUCCAAAACUCUCUGCCAUUUUAGAGGCACUACUCGUAGUAGAACUGAGAAUAGGGUGGAACGAUUAUUCAUAGUAAUGAGAAUCUAUACCGGCUGUACCGAUUAUAUGUCGGAUAGGCGCCCGCCCCCAAGCCAGUGUCCAUCUUCAUGAAAUGACAUUGGUAGACGGGUUGGGACCAGCCUUGUAUCCCGGUGAACAAUGUUCCACUGAUUAGGCGGGGACAGGAUUUGAACCUGCAAUCUUCAGGUCAUGAGCCUGAUGAGUUGACCAAUUCCUCUACCCCGCU